rnacentral:rRNA from 1 species
UACGGGAGGAGUGAGCAUUAUUCAAAAUGAUUAGGCGUAAAGAGUUUGUAGGUGGUUUAAUAAGUUGAAAAAAUAAAAAUAAAGCUCAACUUUAUAUACUUUUCAAAACUAUUAAACUUGAGUAUAAAUAGAAGAUAAUAGAAUUUCUAUUGUAGGGAUAAAAUCUGUUGAUAAUAGAAAGAAUACCAAAAGCGAAAGCAAUUAUCUGGGUAUAUACUGACAUUGAGAAACGAAAGCUUGGGUAGCGAACGGG